UGUACAAAAUAGCAGCUAUAAUGCUUAAAGUAUCUGAUAAUAUUAAAAUUAGUUUUCAUACUUAAAUCGACAGAUAGAUAAAACAUUGCCUGUAACACUGCAUAUACCUAACAUAGUUAUCGUUCCUUAACCGCUAGGGUCCCCGUGAGAUAUACUCUUCCGGUCAGGACGGUAGCAAUAGACCGUGGUUAUUUAUAGCCACAGUUUAAAAAUCAGUCAGAAAAAAUUACUUCUAUACAUUCAAGAUCUAAAAUUAAAAAACUGAAAGUUCUAUGAUUACGUAGAGUUGUGAAUAACGACCUUACCAAUCACACACGAUAUUGAAUUAUCAGUUUUUGAUAUAGCUCAGCAACAAAAUCUACUUGAAUUGGUAUUUGACAAAUAUUGAAAGAGCCCCAGAAUUGGGUUUUGAAAUAAAAUAUGUGGUUUUUGUGCCGUUGUGUUCUUUGUACAGUAAUAUAUUUGUCAAUGUUUGAAUUCAUCUUUAUAAUGAAAUAUGCCCAUGUGUACAUUGAGAUUAUAUUAAAAAAUUUGAUAAUUUAACAUGACUUCUCUUUUUAGUUUAUGGCCAUGACGAAGCGCCCAGUACGAACCUGAUAUUUGCCAAAAGUCCGCCAAAAAGUCCAUCAUUCUUGUGCAACACCUGCGGCAGAGGCUUUCGAUCAAGACAGGAGUUAACUGACCAUGUGAAAAUAAAGCAUGGUGCUACAAAGUUUCAAUGUACUGCGUGUUUUAAAGGCCUCUCGACCAAAACUCAUUAUACGUCACAUAUGCAGAAUCAUUUGAACGAAAAGAUGUAUCCAUGUGACCAGUGUGGCUCAAGCUUUGUACAUAAGAAGGAUCUGGUGAACCAUAUAAAUGCCAAACAUGAUCUGAAAAAGUUAUCUUGCACAUACUGUAGCAAGUCGUUUUCCUAUGACAGAGCAUUGAAACGACAUAUUCGUGGUGUACAUGAGAAACAAGUUUUUGUAUGUCAAUAUUGUUCAAAAAGAUUUGGUUACUAUGACAAUUUAAAGAGACACGUGAAAAAUAUUCAUAAACAAUAGGAGCCUGAAUCUCUAGCAAUAUCAUUUUAUGAAAACACAUUGUGUUGUGAAAAAAAAUAAAUCUUCAUCGUUCUUUUAUAGCUCAGGUAUCUUUUGGUGGAUCCAUAUGAAUAGAAAAGUCGAUUGAUUUUGAUAUUCAUUUUGAAAUCAAUGUUCGGGAAAAUGUAUUCAUAGUGUACGUUUUUAAUCAAGAAACUUUCAGAUUAUAAAUUAUGCAUUUUAUUUUAUGUUUAAUCUACCUCAAUUUUUCUUUCUUGAUAAUCGAUGUUCCUGUUUAAUACAUUGUGGUUUUCAAAUCACUAUUAUUCCUCUCUGAAACUGAUGCUGUCGUAUGAAUUAUUUUUAGCGUGUUUUGAAAGAGUUAUAUAAUUGAUUCCAAAAUAAUACUUUCUUGAGGAUAGAGUAUAUGAUAAAUAUAUGUAUAUCAUCGUAAAAGUAGCCAUAAAUGAAGAACCAAAUCAUUGUAAUUAUGAUUAAAUGGCGUUAUGAGAAAUAUUCAAUGUUAUUUUUCUUUUUUGUUAAUCAGACAGACCUUUCUGAUAUCGAAUGUAAGAUUGAAAACUCUUCAAAACGCAACAUACUGUUGUUAAAUUAUUGGUUUCGAUCAUAACUAAAACUUAAGAUCAUGCAAGG